rnacentral:rRNA from 1 species
UACGGGGGGGGGCAAGCGUUUGUUCGGAAUUACUGGGCGAAAGGCUCGUAGGUGGCCAACUAAGUCAGACGUGAAAUCCCUCGGCUUAACCGGGGGAACUGCGUCUGAUACUGGACGGCUUGAGUUUGGGAGAGGGACGCGGAAUUCCAGGUGUAGCGGUGAAAUGCGUAGAUAUCUGGAGGAACACCGGUGGCGAAGGCGGCGUCCUGGACCAACACUGACACUGAGGAGCGAAAGCCAGGGGAGCAAACGGG